CAGACACUGACCCACAGGUUCUCCAGGCCCUCCAGGACCUUCUCACACUCCACAGCCCCUGCCCCUGCCCCUGUCCUGUUGACCUCCCAGCAUCCAUCCCUGUCCUCGGGCUGCACCCUGCUGGCUGUCCUGUUCUCUGACCAUCCCCCACUAUCCAGUCCCUCCUGGGAGACCUGAGGCUGUCCUGGGCUUCAGCCCCCAGGGCUGGGGUCGCAGUGCGCAGGGUCCCAGGACCUCCUGCUCCUCCCUCUGGGAUGUUGUUACCCACCCCAGCCUCCCCAGCCCGAUGUUCGGGGUCCCGUGUGUAUCUGUGGGUUUCCCCGAGGCUCAGAGUCCUGCCCCGGCCAGCACAGACGGGGAACAGGGCGAGGGCUGGGUGGUGGCCCAGUGACCUCGGGGGCCAGGCCUUGUAGGUGCAGGUGGGCCCGUGCUGCCGUGCCCCUCACCCACAGACAGGCCCCGACUCUGGCCCAGCACCCGCUCGGCCGCUCCCAGCUGCAGGCUGAGCUCUGCCCAUUUGCUCCUGGGCCAUGUGUGUUUGGAGCCUUUCCUGAGCCAGGCCUUGGGUGGGCCCUGUUUCCCCAGGCCACCGAUGAGCAGAGCACUGUCGGCUUACAGAGGGGACCCCCGAGGGGGGUUUGGUGGGCACACACCAGUGAGCCCUGGAGCUGGUGGGGGGUGAGUGUGUGAGCGUGUGAGCAUGGGUACAAAUGUGACAGUGACUUAGCGUCGGGGUUUGAGUGUGGGUGGGGGUGUAAGUGUGGGUGAGGGUGUGAGUGUGGAAGUGUGUUAGUGAGUAUAUGAAUGUGAGGGUGAGUGUGAGUGAGGAUGUGUGUAUAGGCGUGUGGGUUGUGUGUAUAGGAAGUGUGUGUGUUGUGUGUGUAUAGGAGGUAUAUGUGUUGUGAGUGUAUGAUAGGUGUAUGUGUUGUGUGUGUAUAGGUGUAUGAGUUGUGUGUGUGGUGUAUAGGUUGUGUAUGAGUGGGUGGUGUGUGGGUUGUAUGUAUGUUUCAUGUAUGUGUUGUGUGUGUGUGGUGUAUGGGUUGUAUGUGAAUGUGUGGUGUAUGGGUUGUGUGUGUGCAUAGGUGUAUGUGUUGUGUGUGUUUGUGGUAUAUGAGUUGUGUGUGUGAGUGUGUGUAUAGGUGUAUAGGUUGUGUGUGUGUGGUGUAUGGGUUCUGUGUGGGGGUGGUGUAUGGGUGUGUGUAUGAGUAUUAUGUGUGUGUGUGGUGUGUAUGUGUUGUGUGUGUGGUGUAUGGGUUGUAUGUGUGUAUAGGUUGUGUGUGUUUGUGGUAUAUGGGUUGUGUGUGUGUGUGUAUAGGUGUAUGGGUUAUGUGUGAAUGUGUGGUGUAUGGGUUGUAUGUGUAGGUGUAUGGCUUAUUAGUGUGUAUAUAUGUGUACGGGUUGUGUGUGUGUGGUUAUGGCUUGUGUAUGUGGUCUGUGCGUUGUGUAUGAGUGUGUGGUGUAUGAGUUGUGUGUGUGUAUAGGUGUAUGUGUUGAGCGUGAGUUUGUGGUAUAUGGUUGUGUGUGUAUAUAGGUGUAUGGGUUGUGAGUGUGUGGUGUAUGGGUUGUGUAGGGGUGUAUGGCUUGUUUAUGAGUGUGUGUAUAGGUGUAUGGGUUUGUGUGUGGUUAUGGCUUGUGUGUGUUUAUGGUCUGUGGGUUGUGUGAGUGUGUGCUGUAUGAGUUGCAUGUGUGUGUAUAGGUGUAUGCGUUGUGUGUGAGUUUGUGGUAUAUGGAUUGUGUGUGAGUUUGUGUAUAGAUGUAUGGGCUGUGUGUGUGUGGUGUAUGAAUUGAGUGUGUGUAUAGGUGUAUGUGUUGUGUGUGUAGUGUAUGGGUUGUGUGUGUGAAUGUGUAUAGGUAUAUGGGCUGUGUGUGUGGUUAUGACUUGUGUUUGUGUUCUAUGGGUUGUGUGUGUGGUGUAUGUGUUGUGUGUGAGUGUGUGGUGUAUGGGUUGUAUGUGUGGCAUAUGGGUAUGUGUAUAGAUGUAUGGUUUGUGUGUGAGUGUGUGGUGUAUGGGUUGUGUGUGUGUGGUAU
rnacentral:lncRNA from 1 species